AAUAAAAGUUCUAAUGAAUUAUUAAACAGUAAUACAUUCAAAAGUCCCAGUAGUAUUAAAUUAACAAAGAGUAUUUUUAGAAAAAUAUUAGAUCACAAAAAUAAAAGUAAAAUUACAUCUAGUAAAAAUAUUGAAUAUAAAAAUUCACAAAAAAGACCUUUUUUUACAUAUUUAAUGAAAUUAAAACAAAAAUAUAGUAAAAAAUAUAAAGAAAAAAAUGGAUUAGAAGAAUCAGAAUCAAAUUAUGAUGAUGAUGAUGAUGACGAGUUAUGCUCUGAAAAAAAAAUAGAAAAUUUUUUUUAUGAACACAAUGAUGAAAUGAUAAAAAUGUAUAAUAUAAAUUAUGUAGUAUAUUUUAUGAAUGAAUAUAAUGAAAGUAAGGUAUAUACUAGAUUAAUAAAUAAUAAACUAACAUAUCAAGAUAUAUUGUUUAUUGAAAGAAAAAUGAAUAUAGAAAAUAAUACAAAAACAAUUGCUUCUUGUGGUUGUGUAUUAGUUACAAGAGAAAAGUUAUUAAAAUUACAUGAACAAAAUAGAACUGUAGAAGAUUAUAAAUAUAAAAAAAGAUAUUUAACUGAAAGUUUUUGUGAAGAUUAUCAUCAUAUAAAAUUAAUUGAUCAUAUAUCUUUAAUACAUCCUUUACCAAAAAUUAGUUUUUUUUUUUAUAUGACACAUGAAUUAAUGCAUAUAUAUUUAUGGAUUAAAAAAAUUAAAAAAUCAAAAAAUUACAAUUAUAUAUAUUCAAUUGUACAAAAAAUAUACAAUAAUAACUAUCUUCAAAAACAAAUUAUAGAAAAUAAAAAACAAAAAAGUAGAUAUAAUUAUCGUUAUACUUUGUCUGUAUUAAAAGAGAAACAAAAACCAAUGCAUCAUAAAAAAUUAGCAUGCUAUUUAUCAAAAGAGCUAGAAGAAAUUAUAUGUAUACACGUUUCUUUACAACUUAUAAAGUAUAUCGAAGGUGUAUUUAACAAUGAUAUGUAUGAAAAACAAUUAAUAAACUAUUUUAUUCAAAAAUAUGAAAAUGUAGAUUCUACCAUAUAUGCAAAAGAUUAUAAAAUUUUUAAAGAUUUAAUUAAAAAUUACACAAUGUCGAAUGUCUUAAAAAUUAUUAUAGAUAUAUAUUAUACACAAUUUUAUCCAGUAGUUACUUUGAAUUUGUUAAAAGCAGUUAUUCCCUUAAUAAACACUUAUUUGU
rnacentral:lncRNA from 1 species